CACGGACCUAGAUGAGGACAGGCAUUUCCUGCCCAUAUGCUGCAUUUACCAAGACCACCCUGGACUGCCUCGCCUCCAUCCUGGGCCUAUACAAACCCUCAAGACACUAGCGGGCCAGAGGAGGAGAAGAGCACAUCGGCCGCGGAAGGAGACACCAAGCGGCUGGUCUGGUCAUGGAGAGGCUGCGGAGGGGGCGAGGCUGCGGAGGGGGCGAGGCUGCGGAGGGGGCGAGGCUGCGGAGGGGGCGAGGCUGCGGAGGGGGCGAGGCUGCGGAGGGGGCACGUCGGCGGGAGAGCACAGCGACAAGCCCCGGCACACCCGCAGGCCCUUGAACCAGAGGGACGAGUCGGAGUUUGGCUGGGGCAGUCAGGGGAGAGCCGGGGCCGCCAGCAGCCCAACUCCAGGGGAAAACCGUCUCCCUUCUGGCUCCCCCAUGGGCUGAGAGCUAUAAAUAAAACUCAAUAAAACCUUAAUAAAACUCAAUAAAACGUUACACUUAUUCUCCAAG
rnacentral:lncRNA from 10 species